GUAACCCUAAUUUUCGGCCGUUUCUUCGUUACACAACCAGUAAGGAACGUUGAUGAUGGACGGUAGGAGGGUGAUCGGAGAUUACGGAUGAGCGACGGUGGAGCGAUGGUGAUAAUGGAGAACGACAACAGGUAGUGAUGGUCGGAGGAACGACGGUUAACGGAGGACAACCGGAGUUGCAGGUUACGGUGGAGCGAUGCGGGGUAACCGGAGUUGCAGGCUACGGUGAUGAAGAUGAUCGGAGGAGCGAUGGAUGAACAAAGGAGGUGACCGGAGAUAGUUGCAGGUUGGAACCGUUGUCGAAGAAACGAGAUGAGUCGAAACCACGGUUGCGACUGUGAUGAAGAUGAACGCCGUGAAGAGUCGAGAUCUCGGUUGCGACUCGGAACUGCGGUUGCGAGUCAGACAAUUUGAACAAUGAGGUUGCGACAAGCCGUGAAGUCGAGACCUUGAAACUGUGGUUAUCGUUGAAUGAUAGCCGAUGAUGAUGAAGACAAUGUUGUCAACCGGAGAUGAUGAAGAUGA
rnacentral:lncRNA from 1 species